rnacentral:rRNA from 1 species
GAGGAAUAUUGGUCAAUGGGCGAGAGCCUGAACCAGCCAAGUAGCGUGCAGGAAGACGGCCCUAUGGGUUGUAAACUGCUUUUGUAUGGGGAUAAAGUCAGUCACGUGUGAUUGUUUGCAGGUACCAUACGAAUAAGGACCGGCUAAUUCCGUGCCAGCAGCCGCGGUAAUACGGAGGGUCCGGGCGUUAUCCGGAUUUAUUGGGUUUAAAGGGAGCGUAGGCUGGAGAUUAAGUGUGUUGUGAAAUGUAGACGCUCAACGUCUGACUUGCAGCGCAUACUGGUUUCCUUGAGUACGCACAACGUUGGCGGAAUUCGUCGUGUAGCGGUGAAAUGCUUAGAUAUGACGAAGAACUCCGAUUGCGAAGGCAGCUGACGGGAGCGCAACUGACGCUGAAGCUCGAAGGUGCGGGUAUCGAACAGGAUUAGAUACCCUGGUAGUCCGCACAGUAAACGAUGGAUGCCCGCUGUUGGUACCUGGUAUCAGCGGCUAAGCGAAAGCAUUAAGCAUCCCACCUGGGGAGUACGCCGGCAACGGUG